UUUUGGAUCAAUAUAAAAUAGAGUAUUCAAGCUUGAUAAGUGUGCAUUUUACACGUUUUGAGCAUCCAUUUGUCAUCACUUUAGCAUCAUAUCACCACUGUUUUAUACCAUUUCUCAUCAUUUGUCAUCACUUUGCAUGGUUAGGAUAGUUUUGCAUGCAUAUUGCAUAUUUGUGUUGUGUUCAGGUAAUUUGGAGC
rnacentral:sRNA from 1 species